CUUGCAGUUUGGAGGGGGUUCAGGAACAGUGAAUCAGCAUGCUGUUCUGUGUGGCAGGAGCUCAAUCUGCCUUAGAGAUUUAUGUCAGGGGUUCGUUAUCACAAACGUCUUCCACGGCAGAGGUCCUGCUGUCUCUUUUAUGUGGCUGGAGAAGUGCUAUUGGGGAAGAAUGCUUAUUUUGAAUUUUAAAAAGAACAGAAAUUAUUUUGUUUUUCAUAAAAUUUUCUCUAGAUUUGCUUUCACCAUAGAAUAUUCAUGGGAAGAGGUGGAUAGAAGAAAUGAGGAAGUCAUUGUGUGGUGGGAAGACAUCUCCCUAGUGACUCCUGACCAGCUGACCGUGUGGCCAAACCUCAGGGUGAUAAGGGUAUCAGAUAGCCCUACAUGUACUACAAACAAUGGAUACAGCCACAUCACCCAUGGGAUGCAGAGAGAUUUAUACACCUGUGGAUAUAGCCCCAGUUGGAAGUGAAAAUUUGGAAACUAUGGGCUUCUACAACAUCAAUUCACAGCAGCAAAAGCUUUCAAAAGCUUUUCCUGAGCAUUUGUUUAGGAUAUCUAUAUAAGUAUAGGUACAUUUUUUUCAAAGGGAAGAGGUGAAUAUCAAGAGACUAUAAGUUUGAUAAUGAUUAACACGACCUUAUUUGUUAAACAUAGGAGCUAAUUACUUUCUUUCCCAUUUUUCUAAGGAAAGGGAAACCAAUGGCUUCCCUUGGAUUUCCUGUCCCUUGUGAGGUGGAAAACAAAACCAAGAGAAGGGAGGGUGUGGCUCAGUCACAUCUGGAAAGGCAUCUCCAGGACCAGAGAGAAGACUCUCAAAAACACACGAGACACAUUUGAAACAAAUCCUUAGAUUGACAUAGGAGAGGUGGUCUGGCAUAGCAGGAAGAACUUAGAUUUGGGGAUGGAGUAGAUUGAGGUUCACAUACUUAAUUUUCAGUUAUUUAAGUAGUAAGGAUGUUAACAUGUCCCUCUCUGGUCUUGGCCUGGAGACCAUGCUAUCAACCUCUAUUACCAAGUAAGGACCGAGGUCACCAUGCAGGAUGCGUAGAGGAGGCACUUAGAACCAGGUUGGGGCCUGGUUGUAUUAUAUUAUAUUAUAUUAUAUUAUAUCCCUUAGCCAUCAGGGUUAUAAAAGUGUUAAAUGGAAAUCAGAAAGUUUUGUUUGGAAAGCUGGGUAUUUUUCUUUUACUUCAUGUCCAGGAGAGGGGCACUAGUGAGCUUGCCAUGUGAGACAUCUGAGUCACAUCUGGGUCAUCACAGGGGGAAGAGACUAUUGUUGCUUUUUUCCUCUGAGAGAAGACUGAAAAGAUAUGGCCACCAAAGCGGUGGCUUUCUCUCCUCAAGCUAACUGGGAGAGGGAUCCUGUUUGUUUUUGAUCACAUGUUGAGUGUGAGAAAACCGAUGGCAGGUGUCCCCAACAUGACAAUGAAGACAGGUAAGGGCAGGGAGAGCCCAGCAGUAUUGCUGUUGGGUCCUGCUAAACCCUGUUUUAUGGGAGAGCCCCAGUGUUUUAUUGUGUCUCUGAAGAAUCUACCAAAAUUAUCCUUAAAAAUUUCAGAAAAUUCUAGAAAGGGUGACAUGAGUUCCACGGAUGGUGGCAGUUGGGGCUGGUGGCUAGAGGAGAGUCUCAGCGUCCCAGUGGAUGAUGCCUUCAGAUCUACAUUAACUGCAGGAAAGCAUAGCAUCAGUGUUAGAGCAAGAAUGUGUGCCUCAGCAGAAGCUGUCUUCCAGCAAAAGGUCAGGAGAGAAGGGGUGCAAGCUCUAGGUGUCUUCCUCUGUAAGGCAGGGUGCACUUGCUGUCCCAGAUCAGGAACCACAAUGUGUUCACAGAAGACCCAGCAACCAGAGAGCCCUAAGUGGAGUUUUGGCCACUUGCUGGUCAUAUCAGUUUUUUUUUUUUUUUUUUUUUUGCUAUGUAACUAGCUCCAAUGGCAAAGCUUUUUGGGGUCUCCUCAAGAGCAGGUUCAAAUGAUAAGUUUUAGUGUUAUCAGUGAACAGUGCUGACAAACUGGCAGAAACAUCCCAUAGCUCCUUGGACACCUGGUUAAGAAGUGACCUUGACCACACUGGACGACUCUUAGGCAUAACAUCUCAGGCUAUGCCAGGCCCGCUCCUCUUAACUCUCAUAGUGUGCCGACUCAUGAUAAUGUCUGUCUGCUAAGAAUACUUCUGCUCCUUACUUCUCCCUGCUCUCUAAGCCAAGAGGAGGUGAGAGCCAACCAGGGAAUGGAGAGGAGAAUAGCUCAAGGUGGAGAAAGAGUAACAGAGCUGACCACCUCUGUUUCCUUCUCCAACACGUCUAACCUGGGGAUGUGAAGAUGAGAUUCCAGAUGAAGUUGAAUCUUCUGUGACCCAGGACUGGAUAUUUUAAUUACUGAACUAAGAUUAAUUUGGGGACCACAAGAGGCUGAAAAUCUUUUUAAUUAGUGAGGAGUGACCACACAAAUAUAAGAAUUGCUUUCAAUUUCAUCUAAGGCCAGAGGAAAAAAUGAGCCCCCCAGAAUGGACUUGAAUGGAGAGGAGGAGAAGAUGGUCAAGACAUUUGUUGAUCAUAUCACCUGAGGAGUUUGGUUCUUUAAAUAUUGUCAUACCUUUGUAUUCAUGGGGAUGGACUGAAUCCACUGACCACAGACUCCAAGGAUGCUCAAGACCCUUAAAGAAAAUGGUGUGGUACAGUAAUUACAUGUAAUCCAUUUCCUAUAUAUUUUAUUUAAUAUGGAAAUUACUAGUAUUGCCCAAUAAAAUAUGAG
rnacentral:lncRNA from 1 species